CCACCUUUUACUCAAAACAUCAGACAUUUUGUCAUACCAGAAAAUUUGAGGCCUGCUCAAAUGCUAGGCUGUCAAAAAACCACCUGGUCAGCAUCUGUAUUCCAGUGAAAAACAACAUUUUGCCAUCUUUGAAGAAGAUUCCGGUGUUCCAUUUGAAAUUGACAGUGCUACUGAGAGGAUGCAGAGGUGGGCUCAUUUGUGCAUCACAUAGUUGCCCAGGAUCCAGACCAAGGGAGGAAUGGACAAGUCAUGUACCAUCUUCUAUCAAACAGUGAAGACCAGGGCUUUGUUAUAAAUAAAAAUACAGGAGUGCUAAGUACUGUCAUUGCUUUGGACCAUGAACGCCGAGAAUAUUACAAUUUGACAGUUGUAUGAUGGCACUCCAGCUCUGUCUGCAACUCAGAGUCUGACACUAAUUGUCCUUGAUGUAAAUGAUGAGGCACCAAUAUUUACAAAAACUGUGUAUGAAGCAUCUAUCUAUGAAAAUACAGCUCCAGGAGCAGUUGUCAUCAAA